rnacentral:sRNA from 1 species
UUGCUGAGCGUGCUCCUGAACUGCAGCAACGUGGACCUGGGACCCACCCUGAGUCGCAUGAAGGACUUCACCAAGGGUUUCAGCCCUGAGAGCAAAGGAUAUGCGAUUGGCAAUGCCCCGGAGUUGGCCAAGGCCCAUAAUAGCCAUGCCAGGCCCGAGCCACGCCACCUCCCUGAGAAGCAGAAUGGCCUUAGUGCAGUGCGGACCAUGGAGGCGUUCCACUUUGUCAGCUAUGUGCCUAUCACAGGCCGGCUCUUUGAGCUGGAUGGGCUGAAGGUCUACCCCAUUGACCAUGGGCCCUGGGGGGAGGACGAGGAGUGGACAGACAAGGCCCGGCGGGUCAUCAUGGAGCGUAUCGGCCUCGCCACUGCAGGGUAAGGGCCCUGUGCCUGCCCUGUUCUACUCUCUGGAGCUGUACCUACUUUGGGAGGGACAGAGAGUAUCCAGGUGAUUUGUAAAUUGCAAGGCCAUAUGGUGAAUCUGGCAAGAUCAGGCUUAGAUCAUGGGCUCUCAACUUGUUGUCUUAUUUCCUGCCUGGGCUGCCUGUGGCCUGCUCCUGGGUGGGCUGGGGGAGGGGCAGGCCUCAGUGGAGCCUUAGGCAGCCCAGGUCUGCUGGUUCACUUCCAGAUAGGCCCCUCAUACAGCUUGUUGGAAGGUACCAGCUCAGGUGCCUGGCAUGUAUGGCUAGUCGCUGCCUGCCUGUUGGGGUGGGGCCUAUACUUACAGCUGCAGGUGUGACUGCAGGGAGCCCUGCCAGGAUAUCUGCCUCAACCUGAUGGCGGGGCCGGGGCGGGAGCUGCUCUCACGGCUGCGGCUGUGACUGCAGGGAGCCCUACCACGACAUCCGCUUCAACCUGAUGGCAGUGGUGCCCGACCGCAGGAUCAAGUAUGAGGCCAGGCUGCAUGUGCUGAAGGUGAACCGUCAGACAGUACUAGAGGCUCUGCAGCAGCUGAUAAGAGUAACACAGCCAGAGCUGAUUCAGACCCACAAGUCUCAAGAGUCACAGCUGCCUGAGGAGUCCAAGUCAGCCAGCAACAAGUCCCCGCUGGUG